CUUUCAAAGUCCGAAAAGAUACGGAAUAAUUUGGCUGAGAUCUUUUUUUAGCAUACCCUUUUACGACUUGACAAAGACAGUAAUUUAAAGAAUGAACGAGUCGGACAGAAAAUUGUUUCAAGCCAUUUAUCUUCGCUUUGUGGAGAGGGUUGAUCCAAGUGAAAUGAUGGGAUCUAUAACAUGUCUGACAGAGCAUGCAAGGCACCAGGGCACCAAACUCGUGUCAAACCAGGAUGGUCUCACAUAGUACAAGAGCCAAUGGAAGCUAAUUUACCGCCAAUGGAAGCCAAUUAUUCAAAUUUCCAUGUACUUACCAUGGAAUACAAAUGGCCGGUGCUUCAACAAUCCAGCAGAACCAAACUUCAUAUGGGCCAAACGAAACAAACAGGAAUGAGGCUCCAUAUGGUAGCAAUAGAUACCCCAAUAGUUAUGCUUCACCAUUCAACCAGAAUCAGACUCCUCGCGAGUUAUAUGUUCUAGGCAGGUACACGGUUAAAAACUUCCAGUAUAUUGGUAUGUCUGCUACAUACUCAGGAGCCUCGAAUGUUGAUUUUCCUGUGCCAAAACGGUAUAUAUCACAACAGCCUCAGCAGGGUGUUAAUCAUAUGCAACAUCAGCCGGUCAGAGUUGUGUAUGCACCGUCAGCCCAUUCUGCGUCCAUGUCGGAAUUUCAAAAUGACCCACAAGAUGAUCAAUCUCCACAAAACUUUGGUGGUAAAGAACCAUCUAUGGAACCAUUAAAGAUCAAUGUGUCACAGAGUACAGGCAUCGUUUCUGAACAGGACAACGAUUUGAAUAAAUCUGAUACAGAUAAUGAAGAUUCAGAUUUUACUGUAACGAAAAAUAUUGAAACAGAAGAGAAUAUUUUAUAUGUACCAGAUUCUGAUUCAGGUAAAAUUAUUCAGGACCAGGACAACGUUCAAUGGAGGCAACCAAUGACGAAUAAUAAAGUUGGAAUAAAAAAGCAAGUAAGUUUAAGAAUGACCGAAGAAAGUUGUGAAAAUGUUCCAUUUAAACUACAAGCAACUGGUUUUGAUUCAAGCGAGACUACGCUUAAAGAGUUUUACAACCCAAUGGCAAUGUAAAAAAAGAGGACAAUAAUGCAACUCAUGCUGGAUUUGAUUCAAGUGAGACCACACUUAAAUCCCCGAUAACAGAUAAUGAACAAAACGUUUCGUCCAACGUAGAAAGUACGAUCAAACUUUCGUUAAGAUCAAAAGCUGAUAAAAUCAAUUUUGAAACAGAAAUCACCCAAGAACAUGUUGAGAAUAUACGACAGGGAUGUUUCUCAAAUGUCUAUUCCACAACUGCUUCAUUAUUGCCUUCAACUCAAAAAGUGUCAACAGAAAGAACCGAUAACGUUGAAGCAACGCAGCAACCAAUCGACAACUCUCUGGAAGAUGCUAAUAUACCGGAAAUAAGGAUCCUUCAAGACGAUGCUGAACUCGAAAGUAUAAUCAAGAAAGGAGGGAAGGCGAAUGCCUUUGGGAUUCCUAGUUAUAGAAAAGAUGGUAAAACCGAGGAUGGGGUAAGUUUUGUGUCAGAUUCUGAAGAAAGAGAUAUGGCUGCGAAUUCCGAUGAGUACAUUUCAACGGAUGGUAUUCGUACUACAGAAGGCAAUACCGUGCGAGCUGAGAUAAAUGGCAUGAACGAGUACUUUGAACAACUGAAUGACCAUCCUAAAGAUUUGACCAAAGAUCAGAUCAAACACAACAGUGUCCAGAAAGGUAUGAUUGCUAUUAGGCCAGAGGUUGCUGAAAAUGUAAAUGCGGAGAAUUCAACAGAUGAACGAUUUAGAUGGGUCAGUUUUGGGUCAUCGUUUGCGAGUUUAAUUUACAAGGGUUUGCACCCAGAUGUUUGAGGACACUUUGCCAACGUUAACGCUGGUUUCAUAUAAGAAUUUGUAUUCAAUGCUUGUUUAUGUAUAUUAAAUUGGAUAACAUAAAGUGCAAAAUAUCAGCUCGUGCUGUGCUGUGUAUGGUCCAGGAAUAUCGUCAAAUCGAAGAAUGUGUAUCCAAUAAACAUAUAUUUGUAUAACAUAGUUAAACGAAUAAAACAAUUAUGAACAUGAUUGAUAUAUUUAUUGAUUGAUUGAUGAUACAGAUAAAUCGAAGCAGGCCGUUUAUAAGCGCUCAUAU